AAUGAACGCUGGCGGCAUGCCUAAUACAUGCAAGUCGAGCGAACAGACAAGGAGCUUGCUCCUUUGCCGUUAGCGGCGGACGGGUGAGUAACACGUGGAUAACCUCCCUAUAAGACUGGGAUAACUACGGGAAACCGGGGCUAAUACCGGAUCAUAUUUAGAACCGCAUGGUUCAAAAGUGAAAGAUGGUUUUGCUGUCACUUAUAGAUGGAUCCGCGCCGGAUUAGCUAGUUGGUAAGGUAACGGCUUACCAAGGCAACGAUCCGUAGCUGACCUGAGAGGGUGAUCAGCCACACUGGAACUGAGACACGGUCCAGACUCCUACGGGAGGCAGCAGUAGGGAAUCUUCCGCAAUGGGCGAAAGCCUGACGGAGCCACGCCGCGUGAGUGAUGAAGGUCUUCGGAUCGUAAAACUCUGUUAUUAGGGAAGAACAAAUGUGUAAUUAACUCUGCACGUCUUGACGGUACCUAAUCAGAAAGCCACGGCUAACUACGUG
rnacentral:rRNA from 1 species